rnacentral:rRNA from 1 species
GGAAAUGGCGGCAGCUAAUAAUGCAAGUCGAGCGAUGGAUUGGAAAACUUGCUCUCCUGAAGUUAGCGGGGGACGGGUGAGUAACACGUGGGUAACCUGCCCCUAAGACUGGGAUAACUCCGGGAAACCGGGGCUAAUACCGGAUAACAUUUUGAACUGCAUGGUUCGAAAUUGAAAGGCGGCUUCCGCUGUCAUUUAUGGAUGGACCCGCGUCUCAUUAGCUAGGUGGUGAGGCAACGGCUCACCAAGGCAACGAUGCGUAGCCAACCUGAUAGGGCGAUCUGCCACACUGGGACUGACACACCGCCCACACUCCUACGGGAGGCAGAAUAAUGGAAUCUUCCGCAAUGGACGAAAGUCUGACAGAGCAACGCCGCAUGAGGGAUGAAGGCUUUCGGGUCCUAAAACUCUGUUGUAAAGGAAGAACAAUUGCUACUUGAAUAAGCUGGCACCUUGACGGAACCUAACCAGAAAGCCACGGCUAACUACGUGCCAGCAACCCCAGUAAUACGUAGGUGGCAAGCGUUAUCCGGAAUUAUUGGGCGUAAAGGGCGCCCAGGUGGUUUCAGACGUUACAAUUGAAACCCAACCCAACG